rnacentral:rRNA from 1 species
UACGUAGGGUGCAAGCGUUGUCCGGAAUUAUUGGGCGUAAAGAGCUCGUAGGCGGUGUGUCACGUCGGCCGUGAAAACCUGCAGCUUAACUGUGGGCGUGCGGUCGAUACGGGCAUCACUGGAGUUCGGCAGGGGAGGCUGGAAUUCCUGGUGUAGCGGUGAAAUGCGCAGAUAUCAGGAGGAACACCGGUGGCGAAGGCGGGUCUCUGGGCCGAUACUGACGCUGGAGGAGCGAAAGCGUGGGGGAGCAAACAGG